rnacentral:rRNA from 2 species
UGUCAAGUCGGAUGUGAAAUCCCCGGGCUCAACCUGGGAACUGCAUUCGAAACUGGCAGGCUAGAGUCUUGUAGAGGGGGGUAGAAUUCCAGGUGUAGCGGUGAAAUGCGUAGAGAUCUGGAGGAAUACCGGUGGCGAAGGCGGCCCCCUGGACAAAGACUGACGCUCAGGUGCGAAAGCGUGGGGAGCAAACAGGAUUAGAUACCCUGGUAGUCCACGCCGUAAACGAUGUCGAUUUGGAGGUUGUGCCCUUGAGGCGUGGCUUCCGGAGCUAACGCGUUAAAUCGACCGCCUGGGGAGUACGGCCGCAAGGUUAAAACUCAAAUGAAUUGACGGGGGCCCGCACAAGCGGUGGAGCAUGUGGUUUAAUUCGAUGCAACGCGAAGAACCUUACCUG